rnacentral:rRNA from 1 species
UACGGGGGGGGCAAGCGUUGUUCGGAAUUACUGGGCGUAAAGGGUUUGUAGGUGGCCAACUAAGUCAGACGUGAAAUCCCUCAGCUUAACUGGGGAACUGCGUCUGAGACUGGAUGGCUUGAGUGCAGGAGAGGAACGCGGAAUUCCAGGUGUAGCGGUGAAAUGCGUAGAUAUCUGGAGGAACACCGGUGGCGAAGGCGGCGUUCUGGACUACAACUGACACUGAAAAACGAAAGCCAGGGGAGCAAACGGG